UUUUUGAACAGCUUUAUUGAGAUAGAAUUCACAUACAAUCCACCCUUUUUAACGUGUGUACAAUGGCUUUUAGUAUAUUCAGAGUUGUAUAACCAUUACUAUCAAAUUUUAGAACAUUCUAUUGCCCCCACACAAAACCCAUCAUCAGUCACUCCCUGUUUCCCCUCACCCUCAGGCAACCAUUCGUCUAGUUUCUGUCUCUGUGGAUUUGCCUGUUCUGGACAUUUCAUAAAAAUAGGAUCAUCAACUAUGUGGGUUUUUUUGUGACUGUCUUCUUUCACUUGCUGUAAUGUUUUUUAAAUUCAUCCAUGUUAUAUAGCAUGUAUCAGUACUUCACUCCUUUUAAUGACAGAGUAAUAUUCCACUGUAUGGAUAUACCACAAUUUGUUGAUCCACUCAUUUGUUAAUGGGCAUUUUGGUUAUUUUUAUUUUUUGGCUAUUAUGAAUAGUGCUAUGAAUAUGCAUACAUAAGCUUUUGUGUGGAUGUAUGUUUUCAUUCUCUCACAUAUGUAUACCUAGAAGUGGGAUUGCUGGGUCAUGGGGUAACUCAAGUGUUUAACUUUGUGAGGGCUUGCCAGACUGCUGUAACAUUUCACAGUCCCACCAGUGGCGUUUUGAGAAUUCUAAUUUCUCUCUUUGCCAGCACUUGUUAUUAUGCCUUUUUGACUCUAGUGCUAUCCUGGUAGAUGUGAAAUUAUGUCUCAUUGUGGUUCUGAUUUGUAUUUCCCUAAUGACUAAUUCCCUAAGCAUCUUUUCAUAUGCUUAUUGGCCAUUUUAUAUCUUUUUUUGAGAAAUGUGUAUUCAGACCUAAAAACUGUUUUAAAAAGCAAUGUCAUUUUAAAUUAAAUGUGGAGAUAACCUAUGUUUAUUGCUGUAUAUUUACAUCUCUUCCAAACUCAGAGGUGAACAUGUGACUACAUCCUGGCCUGAGAUGCAGAUGAAGCUCCUGGGUAAAGGACCCUGAGAAAUCUGUUUGAAGGAGACUGCCUUCAGGGAAUGAACAUAAUUUUUUUUUUUUGUACCAGCUGACCUCUCUAGUCCUUCUUGCCUGAAAUGGAUAAGAUGGCUGCAGCUCCAGCAACCAUUUUGAGCCACGAGGUUACCCUGAAGAGGGAAACUUCGCAUUAAAGGUGGCCAAGCUGCGCAGCAGAGCCCGGGCUCCUGAUGACAUUGGAAGCAUGGUGGGCUCAGAGGACUGCACACACCUCAGUAUGUCUGGGAUGUGGGGGGAUCCGUGGGAGAGCAGCAGAUGAAACUGGGAAAGUGGCCUAGAAUCAGAUCUUGCAGGGCCUUGUAUGUCAUUCCAAAGAAUUUGCAUGUGCUAUAUAAUCAAAUACUCCAUGCAAAUACUGAAAUGUAUUGUCUUUAAUGGCUAAUUGUGUUCCAUAUGGUCUCAUCUCUGCAAUUGGAGGGCAGGGGCCAUGUCUUCUCUUUUAUAAUCUCUACAAUGCUAAGCCCAGCACUGCUACAUGCCAGAAACGGAAAAAUAUCUGUAGCAUUAAAGUCAGCCACAUAGCCUAAGGGACCCACGCAGAUGGCUAUAAACAAAGCUUCAAGAUGCAAUUCCCACAAAGGAAUGAAAUGUAUAAGAAAUUUAUAAAGGAUAUGAGGGAUGACCAUGGACGCAGCACCUUCUUCAGUCAACAAUCUGCUGCAUGUCUCCACUGUUUCCAGUUAGCUUCUGGGACAGGGAUGGGGAAGGCAUGGGCCCUGCUCUCGAGGGGCUCACAGUAGAGAGGGGAGACACACACACAGAAGGCUACAGUAAGUCAGAGUGCUCUCUGCAAGGCGGAAUGGAAACCCAGAGAAGGAAGUGUCACUGGGAGGGCAAGAGUUAAGGUUCUCACGUCACAUGAAUGUGUGUUUAGGCAAUGUGACCUUGAGCCCAGCCUUUGAUCUGUGUGAUGUUCCCAAUGGCCACGUGUGACACUAGUCCCCACCUUCAAGGACUGUGAGGAUUAGUGAGGUGGUGUGUGUGAAGGGUCAGCACACACGCAGCACAGAGUUGAAUGCUCAGUAAUUGUUAGGUAGAAAAAAGGUCAUUAUUUGAAGUGGUCAAAGGUUGUAUUACAGGCGAUGGGCACAGCUCUUGUACAGGCUGAAGGCUCCAAACAGCCCUGACAAGUUUGUGGAACAGCAAGGAACUGGAUGCCGCUACAGGGUAGUGUAGAGGUGGGGAGGGUAGGACCAGGUGAGAGGAGCCUGAGCUUGAUCUUGUAGCUGAUGGGAAACUACUGAAGUUGGCAAACAAAGGAGGCAUCUGCAUUGUAGGGUGCUCCUUCUGCUGCUGGCAGCGUGGAGGGAAGUGUGGUGGGGUGAGUGGAUAUGGAUAGCUGCUGCUAGGGGUUAGCCAAGGAUGUGAGCUGCACCCACAGCACACUUAUUUCUGCCUACGAUCAAAAAAGGAUGUUCAGGCCAGGCAUGGUGGCCCACACCUGUAAUCCCAGCACUUUGGGAGGCCGAGGCGGGCAGAUCACCUGAGGUCAGGAGUUUGAGACCAGCCUGGCCAACAUGGUGAAACCCCGUCUCCAGUAAAAAUACAAAAAGUAGCCAGGUGUGCUGGUGCGCACCUGUAAUCCCAGCUACUCAGGAGGCUGAGGCAGGAGAAUCGCCUGAACCCGGGAGGCAGAGGUUGCAGUGAGUUGAGAUCGCGCUAUUGCACUCCAGCCUGGGCAACAGGAACGAAACUCCCGUCUAAAAAAACAAAAACAAAAACAAAAAAAAGGAUGUCCAGUCCUAGGAGCACCUGGAAGGGUAUAAAAAGGCACAGACCCAGCAAACUGCCAGGGGUACAUGAUGGUGCAAAAGCAGGACAGGGAGGAAAAGGGAAGACGUUCUGAAUGAGCUUCAGGAAAAUCAAGGGUACCCGGCCAGAAGGCAGCUGAGGGGAAAUAAGCAUAGAUUUAAAAGCAGAGAGAGGGCAUACCUCCACCCCUUUACUGGCACUGAUUCAGAACACAUUUUUUGGUCAAAGUAUACACAGCUGUAUACUUAAGAAGACAAUCAAACUAAGCCUCCUCAGGUUAUCUGGUCACGGUGUUCUCUGCUAUUUUCUCUAGUUUCUGGCUCUCUGAUUUUAAUCAGAAAUACUUCUGAUAAGGGCAGCGAGUCCAGAUGUCAGCGCGUGACUGCAAUUUGUGAGCAGGCAUGGCUUUAGGCUAGGACAGGUCUGAGAAUCAGCCCUCACUAGAUGCAUAAAAGAAAUGGAGGUGGACCUAGGAAAAUUAAUAGAUGCUGUUCUCUGUACUGUUAAGCAUAUAAAACAGCAUUCUGGACAGAUGCUUGGCAGAGAAAAGGAAAGAAGGGCUCUGCUAGAGAGAAGUGGAUCUUAAGGUGAGCAGAGUUGGGGCCACUGCACAUAAGAUUGAGCUUAACUUCAUGAGAAGCCAAGGUUUAAUGUGACACUGGAAUCUCAUGGUAGCCAUCCUAGAGUGGAUUCUCAAGGAGAUUCACUGUGGUAUCAAAGGGCCCUUACUGUGAUGGGUCUCCUGACAAGACCCAUGAAGAAACAUAAAAUUGACCAUCUCUUUGACCCAGUUUUCCUGCUUAUGAAAGUGGCACCCCAGGGGACAGUUUCAAAAUGGGGGGGAGGAGUGUCAGGGAAGUUAUCUGUAUAAAGAUCGAUGUUUGUUAAACCAUACUAAAAGAUGCUUAUAGCCACUUCAUUCCCUAUAGUGAAAUAAUGAUGUACAUUAAGCUGAUGAACUAUUAGGCAACAAUUAAAAAUAACUAGGAAGCUCGGUUUUAGAAAUGUUAAAGAAAGAAGAACCAAAUGGUGUGUAUACACUGAUUACACAUUCCAUGGAAACCUGUGCAGAUCAUAAGUUGGACACAGAGAUACAAAGCCUUUUCUUUUUAAGGAAAAGGUGAUUAUUUUUGGAAAAGCAAUAAAACCUGGGUUCCCAGCAAAGACAGUGGCACAGUUACCAGACUCACUUGCAACCUGGGAGACCUGGGCUGGGAGCAAGGUCCACUCUUGUAUUUUUUGAUUUUCAAAAACCGUGAACAACUAUGGCUGUGCAUGGAGAGGCUGGUGUGGGGUGGGGUGCGGGGAGGUGCUCUGUUCAACCGCAGGGAAUAAUGACCAAAAAAAAAAAGGCGGGGGGGAGGGGGAAGGAAUGCAGUACACCCCACAGAAAAUGCUUAAAACCUGGCCAAACUGUUACUAAGCAUGUGAGCUUUCAGACUUAGGGAGAAUGUGGCAAUUAGAAAUGUAGUGGAGGGCCGGGUGCAGUGGCUCACACCCGUCAUCCCAGCACUUUGGGAGGAUGAGGCAGAUAGAUCAUCUGAGGUCAGGAGCUCGAGACCAGCCUGGCCAACAUGGGUGAAACCCCAUUUCUACUAAAAAUACAAAAAUUAGCUGGACGUGGUGGUGCAUGCCUGUAAUCCCAGCUACUCGGGAGGCUGAGGCAGGAGAAUCACUUGAACCCGGGGAGUGGAGGUUGCAGUGAGCCACUGCACUCCAGCCUAGGCAGCAGAGCGGGACUCCAUCUCCAAAAAUAAAUAAAUAAAUAAAUAAAUAACAAAAACAAAAGAAAUACAGUGGAGAAAGAAGCUGUUUCAAUUGAGGGUGGAACAGAUGCAAUAUUUCUGGCCACUCCUACCACUGGACAAACACACACUUACUAUGAGUGACUAUAUAGAUGCAGCCUGGGAUUUACUAAGAAACACCAUAACAGAACAUCGAUAGGCCAGGUGACAGCUUUUCACUACAACACCUUACUUCCUUUGAACAUUUGGAUUUUCUAGUUUUCCUAGACAAUGACCUACAC
rnacentral:lncRNA from 1 species